GCGCCAAGGAUACACGCAGCGAAAAGUAGUACCAUUGAGAUAAAAAAAAUACAUCUUUGAUUCAAAAACCUCGUGUACAUUGAAACAAAAUCCAUUUCUUUGAUUCAAGUAAAUUUUGUAUUGAACCGAAUUUUUUUUCCAUUAAACCAAUGUUCCAAAUUUUUGAAUCAAAGUAUUUAAUUUGAAUUCAAAGAUUUUUUAUUUUGACUCAGAUUCAAUGUAAAAAUUCAUUGAUUUAGAUGAAUUUUCUUUUGAAUCAAAAUAUUUUUUCGUCAAACAGUCGACACAUCUUCAUAAGCUUCUGUUUGGUGAACGGGACGGCUGGAAAAUUUUCCGCGCAACAGCCAGACAGCACCGGAAUCACAAAAUCCGGCGUAGGAAAGUCUUGACAGCUUUAAGAGGGCAAACGAUAGUGGACUCCUGGGGCAAUCAUUCAUCCAACGAAUUCCUUCCGAUCCGGUCCAAGGAGACAUCUUUCACCGAAACCCUUCAUGAGUGGUUCGGAAGGAACUGUCGCCAACAAACAUCGUUCAAUGUACCAGUUCAAAACUCGAAUUAUAGGGAAAAUCGAUAAUGUGAACA